rnacentral:rRNA from 1 species
UGCAAGUCGAACGGCAGCACAGCAGAGCUUGCUCUGGUGGGUGGCGAGUGGCGGACGGGUGAGGAAUACGUGGGAAUCUGCCCAGUCGUGGGGGAUAACGUAGGGAAACUUACGCUAAUACCGCAUGCGCCCUUCGGGGGAAAGCCGGGGGACCUUCGGGCCUGGCGCGAUUGGAUGAGCCCACGUCGGAUUAGCUAGUUGGCGGGGUAAAGGCCCACCAAGGCGACGAUCCGUAGCUGGGUCUGAGAGGAUGAUCAGCCACACUGGAACUGAGACACGGUCCAGACUCCUACGGGAGGCAGCAGUAGGGAAUAUUGGACAAUGGGCGCAAGCCUGAUCCAGCCAUGCCGCGUGAGUGAAGAAGGCCCUCGGGUUGUAAAGCUCUUUUGUCCGGAAAGAAAAGCGCCGGGUUAAUACCCUGGUGUCCUGACGGUACCGGAAGAAUAAGCACCGGCUAACUUCGUG